ensembl:snRNA U6 U6 spliceosomal RNA
AUGUGUCAUUGCUUUGGUAGCACAUAUAUCAAAAAAUUGAAAUAAUACUGAGAAUAUUAGCAUGGCCCCUGCCCAAGGAAGACACACAAAUUUAUGAUGCAUUCCAUAUUUUU